rnacentral:rRNA from 1 species
UACGGAGGGUGCAAGCGUUGUCCGGAAUUAUUGGGCGUAAAGAGCUCGUAGGCGGCUUGUCGCGUCGACUGUGAAAUCCCGCGGCUCAACUGCGGGUCUGCAGUCGAUACGGGCAGGCUAGAGUUCGGUAGGGGAGACUGGAAUUCCUGGUGUAGCGGUGAAAUGCGCAGAUAUCAGGAGGAACACCGGUGGCGAAGGCGGGUCUCUGGGCCGAUACUGACGCUGAGGAGCGAAAGCGUGGGGAGCGAACAGG